CAACUAUUGGACUCGUUUUAUGAAUGCUUGGAUCGUGAAACGGAAAUAGAUUGGUAGCUAUUUGGUUCCGAAUGCUUAAGAAGACACCACAUACUACUGCUGUGUGUGGUAGUAGUGGGGUGUACUGUGGCUGUCAUAAGUCUGUUUGCCCAGAAAAACAAUCAAAUUGCACAGACACAGCAGUCAAAUAUUGAAUCCUCUGCGGCAGAGAGAGAAGAGAUGAAGUCUCUGAAAUCAGAGGAGGACUACAGCGUUCUUCUAAAUAUGAUUUUAAAGCAGGAAGGAUGGAGGUAUAUCAACUCCAGUUUGUACUACAUCUCUACUGAGACCACGUCCUGGGAUGAGAGCAGACCUUACUGCCAACGGAAGGGAUUGGACCUGGUGACCAUAAACAGCAAAGACGAAGAGGACUUUCUCCUUGAAGUGGUCCGUGCAAAGAAUUUGGAUGUAGCCUGGAUUGGUUUUUCUCCCAACAAUGGAAG